GACGAACGCUGGCGGCGUGCUUAACACAUGCAAGUCGAACGGAAAGGCCCUGCUUUUGUUGGGUGCUCGAGUGGCGAACGGUUGAGUAACACGUGAGUAACCUUCCCUUGCCUUUGGGAUAACUUCAGGAAACUGUUGCUAAUACUGGAUAGUAGCUCCUGCUGCAUGUUGGGGGUUGGAAAGUUUCGGCGGUUGGGGAUGGACUCGCGGCUUAUCAGCUUGUUGGUGGGGUAGUGGCUUACCAAGGCUUUGACGGGUAGCCGGCCUGAGAGGGUGACCGGCCACAUUGGGACUGAGAUACGGCCCAGACUGCUACGGGAGGAAGCAGUGGGGAAUAUUGCACAAUGGGCGGAAGCAGGAAGCAGCAACGCCGCGUGCGGGAUGACGGCCGUCGGGUUGUAAACCGCUUUCGCCUGUGAAGAAGAGUGAGUGACGGUAAUGGGUAAAGAAGCACCGGCUAACUACGUG
rnacentral:rRNA from 1 species